rnacentral:rRNA from 1 species
GGCCUACCAUGCAGUCGACGGUAACAGGGAGCAGCUUGCUGCUCUGCUGACGAGUGGCGGACGGGUGAGUAAUGUCUGGGAAACUGCCUGAUGGAGGGGGAUAACUACUGGAAACGGUAGCUAAUACCGCAUAACGUCUACGGACCAAAGUGGGGGACCUUCGGGCCUCAUGCCAUCAGAUGUGCCCAGAUGGGAUUAGCUAGUAGGUGGGGUAACGGCUCACCUAGGCGACGAUCCCUAGCUGGUCUGAGAGGAUGACCAGCCACACUGGAACUGAGACACGGUCCAGACUCCUACGGGAGGCAGCAGUGGGGAAUAUUGCACAAUGGGCGCAAGCCUGAUGCAGCCAUGCCGCGUGUAUGAAGAAGGCCUUCGGGUUGUAAAGUACUUUCAGCGGGGAGGAAGGUGUUGUGGUUAAUAACCGCAGCAAUUGACGUUACCCGCAGAAGAAGCACCGGCUAACUCCGUGCCAGCAGCCGCGGUAAUACGGAGGGUGCAAGCGUUAAUCGGAAUUACUGGGCGUAAAGCGCACGCAGGCGGUUGAUUAAGUCAGAUGUGAAAUCCCCGGGCUCAACCUGGGAACUGCAUUUGAAACUGGCCAGCUUGAGUCUCGUAGAGGGGGGUAGAAUUCCAGGUGUAGCGGUGAAAUGCGUAUAGAUCUGGAGGAAUACCGGUGGCGAAGGCGGCCCCCUGGACGAACACUGACGCUCAUGUGCGAAAG